AUACAAAUAUGAUAAGACCUCAAGAAUCUUCUGAAUUCUGAUUAAGAAAAAAAUAAUAAGAAACUUUUCAAAUCAGAAAGGCUUAAUUUGCGCCUUCAUCCUUUUUAUUUCCCCAACAUCAUUGAUUCUAGAUUAUAGACAAGUACCUGCAAAAACUACAACACCCACUAGAGCAACUUCCUUCAACAUCAUUGAUUCUAGAUUCUAGACAAGUACCUGCAAAAAACUACGACACCCACUAGAGCAAUCCCUUCAACAUCAAGUGACGGUAUUAAUUAAGUAAAUAAUUCUGGGUUAUCUAGAGGGAAAUUGGUAUCAAAAUCCACAUUAUCUAAUGAGAUGUCCCAAUAGCCAUUUGGCGAAUUGGUAGCCGAAGUUGGGGCUAAAUUAGAUUCCGGAGUUCUCACAUUGUGGUCUAUUCCUAAACUGUUCAUGUGGCAUGGUGUCAUAGCGAAACAGCUAGAGUCAGAUGUAGCCGGAGAUAUAAAUGCAGAAGAAAGACUACUCAAGAAAUCGUUUUCCAUCAUGGACUCCUUGAAAAUAUCAUUUUCCUCAUUUCCAUUCCCUAUGUAAGCAUCUGGAAAGGAAAAUAAUGGAAAUAUGUCCUCCACAUUGUUCGAGUCCUGGCUUUUAACUUCUUCUCUAAAGUUGAAAGACAACUCCUUCAAUGGCUUUGGCUUCUGUUCAGGUUGUUCUACUUGACAACUAUCCUUGUCUUGUUUCGAUUUGUCAUUUUUCAGGGAUGCUGGUGAUAAGGCUACGGCUAAACGAGAGGCUUGUAAACAUGUAUGUCUUCCUCGAUAGGUGAUUUCAAAAAUUGUAGGGUCCUGAUCUGAUUUCUGAACUUGUUUUGUAGCCAAACAACCUUGUGAGUGACGGUGAGUGCAUCUGUAAUAUCCUCUGCAAAGAAAAAUAGUACUUAAUGUUAGAGAAAACAUCGUAAAAUCCAACUAUAAGAUCGUUUAAUUAUACAGCAUUUUUGUACUCAUGUGCAAAGGGUUUUGAAAAAUACAAGGCCUUAGCCGUUUCAUGCCAGUGAUUAGUGAAAAUUCUAAUAGUGGCAGUUGCAGACUUGCUUCCAGCAGCUCAUAAUUGGGCUGUGAAUCUCGUUGGAGGGAGGCAAGCAGCUAUUUGCCUAUUUCUGCUUCCUUGCAUUAAAUCACAAUAAAGACAGGAAAAAGGACUUUAAAAGUUAUUGUCGGAACAUAGGACUAUUAAAAUUGUCACUGCUUUUGAUCGGAGCCAUUGCCAUUAAGCACAUUACUGUUUUUAAAGCUGCAACCUGACAAGUUCACGCUAAAAUAAUAGGAAAACAUUUUCUUGUGUUUUGAUUGGUCCACUCUACAUUUAUUGGGUGAAUUUCCCUUAAAAGAAUUCAGCAUCCCUAUAAUUUCUCCUCAAACUAAUAAUCAAAAGCAAACCUAACUCGUCAUUGCACUCCACACUUGUCAAUAAAGUUUUUCUUUUUGUUUUCUUUCUUUCUUUUUGAGCAGCUCUUGAAAAUAUCAUCAUCUGAAAAGGCUAUAAGUUUCUCACCUUGGAAAAUUAGCUCCGAGAAUAUCUUUCUGGCCAUAUUUUCUCCAGUUAUAACCAUCUUCAAGUGGCCCUUCCAGACCCGUCACUGAACAGACCUUCACUUGCUCGGUCCAUCUGGGUUCUGUCUUUCUCUUCUUGUAAACAUCUUUUUGACAUUGAUCCUUGCAAUCUUGAUCUGAGACAUCACUCUUAGGGCUGCUGUUGGCAAAGUAGUUUGGUGAUUCCAAUGUACUAAUUGUGGGCUUAAUUUCAACCGCACAACCACCCCAAUUUAGCAGGAAAAGUGCUUUUUCAUAGGAGGAAAGUAUCUGCUCAACAAGGAAUUGACGCGUAUCAAGCGACGAAAUAGAGUUAAGAUUAUUUCUUAGCAGUUCUGCUAGCUCUUUCCCUUGGGUCAGCUCAGUGAUGAGAGUCUUUUGCUCGCAAUCCAUGGCCUUUUCCACAUACAAAAUGCGGUGAGAACAAUAAGACUAUAAUCUAACAAAAUGGAGGAAAUAUUCCAGUAUUGGAGAACCAACAAGCAUGGAAAUUGAGCUUGCAGAAUGAGAAGAAUGGGCAAUUACAGCAAAUGGGUAUCUACUAAGAUUCACUAACUAAAACAGACCAGAACAUGAGAGAGUAGAAAUGAUUCCAGGUGACAUGUGAUGAUGAGGGACAAGUGGGAGAGAUAUAAACCAAGAGAAAGAGAUAAAAAAGCAAUCUGAAAGUGAGAAAAGGAGAGGCUUUAAUUUUCCUAGGAAGUUGUGUGGAAGAUGGAAGGAAUAAGAAGCGAAAAACGGAAGAAAAGAGAAAUAUUUGACUGGAUCAAAAAGUUCUCUGUUUUUUUCACCAAUGACCAGCUUCUAGUCUGGGGUAUUAUAGCUAGGUGGAUUGAAGACUGAUUGAUAGAGAGAUCUGACUGCUGACCAUUUCAAAGAUUACCCCACAGAGCCAGAAAAGUCACCAAU
rnacentral:misc_RNA from 1 species